rnacentral:rRNA from 1 species
GCCAGACUCCUACGGGAGGCAGCAGUGGGGAAUAUUGCACAAUGGGGGAAACCCUGAUGCAGCGACGCCGCGUGAGUGAAGAAGUAUUUCGGUAUGUAAAGCUCUAUCAGCAGGGAAGAUAAUGACGGUACCUGAGUAAGAAGCCUCAGCUAACUACGUGCCAGCAGCCGCGGUAAUACGUAGGGGGCAAGCGUUAUCCGGAUUUACUGGGUGUAAAGGGAGCGUAGACGGCAUGGCAAGUCUGAAGUGGAAGCCCGGGGCUCAACCGCGGGACUGCUUUGGAAACUGUUAAGCUGGAGUGCAGGAGAGGUAAGUGGAAUUCCUAGUGUAGCGGUGAAAUGCGUAGAUAUUAGGAGGAACACCAGUGGCGAAGGCGGCUUACUGGGCUUUUACUGACGCUGAGGCUCGAAAGCGUGGGGAGCAAACAGGAUUAGAUACCCCCGUA